UACGAAGGGAGCUAGCGUUGUUCGGAAUCACUGGGCGUAAAGCGCACGUAGGCGGAUGUGUCAGCUCGAGGGUGAAAUCCCGGAGCUCAACUUCGGAACUGCCUUUGAUACAGCACGUCUUGAGUCCGAUAGAGGUGGGUGGAAUUCCUAGUGUAGAGGUGAAAUUCGUAGAUAUUAGGAAGAACACCGAAGUGGCCGAAGGCGGCUCGACGUG
rnacentral:rRNA from 1 species